rnacentral:rRNA from 1 species
GACGAACGCUGGCGGCGUGCCUAAUACAUGCAAGUAGAACGCAGUUGCGAACGGGUGAGUAACGCGUAGGUAACUGCCUCAUAGCGGGGGAUAACUAUUGGAAACGAUAGCUAAUACCGCAUACUGUGAGAUGGACCUGCGUUGUAUUAGCUAGUUGGUGAGGUAAAGGCUCACCAAGGCGACGAUACAUAGCCGACCUGAGAGGGUGAUCGGCCCCACUGGGACUGAGAAAACGCCCCGACUCCCUCGGGAAGCAGCAGUAGGGGAUCUUUGGCAAUGGACGGAAGGCUGACCAAGCCAAGCCGCGUGAGUGAAGAAGGGUUUCGGGUCGUAAAGCUAUGUUGUUAGAGAAGCGGUACCUAACCAGAAAGGGACGGCUAACUACGUGCCAGCAGCCGCGGUAAUAC